rnacentral:lncRNA from 1 species
UUGUUUGGAUACGUGUGCCAUUGGAUACUUUUAUUAAAAAAAAUAUUUUAAUUAUAUUUAUUUCAAUUAAUAUUUAUUUUGAAGAGAGAGAAGAGCGAUAUACAUGAAUUUGUUAAAUAAUAUUUAUUUUGGAGUUAUUAAAAAUUAUUUUUAUUUUACCAAUGAAAUUCAUAGGGUAAUUUUUCUUAAUUUCAAAAUAUCUUGCUCUAUUCCCAUCGAAACAUACUUGACAAAUUUGGAAUGGAAUUUUAAAUUUUUUAAUUUUAAAUUCACAUAUUCAAACAAACUUAAGAAUUCGUAAAAAAAAAAUGAAUGAGUGAACACGGAAUUGAUCCAAAAAUGGGCCCCAUCAUAGAAGAGUGCACAUUGACCAAGUUAUCAAUUUCGUAUUUUUAUUUUUAUUUUUUUUGAUUAAUCACAUAGUGUCCUAGACAAGCCUUUGGGCCCAUCCAGACUAAUAUCUGUGCCCUAAGCAGCUAGCCCUUCACACCUCAGGAUGUAAACACGGAUAUGCGACGCAGCCACCAGGAAUCGAACGCGAUACCUCCGAGUGUUAGCUCGUGUACCUGACGUCCGCCCGAAACGACUGCGCCUUGUGCCCGGGGGAAGAGGUGAGAAUCGAAUCCUGAACCGAAGUCCUGAUAAGGCCGCGCUUAUCACUUUGGCUAAGCCUUGUAUUUUUUAUAUUUUAUUUUACGCUUACUAUCAGUUUGGUUAUAAAUAGGGAAUCCCAAAAUCUUACUAUAUUGUACAACUCGAGAAAAAUGGGUUCCAGGAAGUUGCUUGUUUUGGAGAUCUUUCUCUUGACACUUAUCCUUCUCUUGGCUUUUGAAGUGGCUGCAAGGGAACUGCUUGACGUCACGGGUAAGUUUCAAUCUGGAUUCUUGCUUUUGGGAACUGCUUUGGCUUUAGGUUGGUCAGUCGUAUUGGCUUUUGGAUUCUAUCCGUUCAUAUGUAGGAUUUUCUGAAAAAUUCUAUAACGAUUUCUGAAAAAACUUUAAUUCUAUAAAAAUUUAUUUUAAUAGAAUUCAAAUCAAUCGUUAAUAUUAAUUUAUAUCAAGAUAAAUAAGUUCAAAAUAGAACCCUAAAUGUUUGAACUGAACUUAUCUACAAUAUGAACGGUUUGUGUCAUUAAAAUGAACUCAAAAUAAAACUCAAAAUUUUUGAGUUGCACCCAUACAACUUCAGAGAAGCCAGAUCCAUAUUAUAUAUAUGAACAUAAGAAUCUUGAUAUAUUAUCUUUUGGAAAGAGUUUUACUAGAGACAAUGAACAGUGGAUGGAUAAUGCAAAUUCACAUGUGGUGGUACCCACGUAUUUAUUAGCUCAUUGCAACAAAAUAUAUAUUUUUUAUUUUUUUAUUUUGAAAAUCAUGUCCAAUGUUCUCUUCUACUUUUUAUAUUUCGUGUUUGAUUGGCAACUAGAAAUGGUUAUAAGUUUAUAACACACACAACACUGUUCAUGCUUGGUAAUGUUAGAUUUUGUUAAAGUGUUUUUUGGAAAAGCAACCCUUGAAGUAUUUCUGAAAAUAUGCUUAAAUCGACCCUUCAAAAGAAAAAACAAAAGCAUUAAGUAAUUUUUUAAAGGUUUUCCAAAUAUUCACGUACAACGUUUUUCUAGAUAAAAAUUGACAAAAAGCUUCUAGAAAUUUUUCAAAACAUGCUCACUAUAUUCCAUAAGUGUGAAAUAUAAUAUAUCACACGAUUACACUCCCAUGGUAUAUUAUAUCCCCACCAGCAAACAUGGCCCCCUCUCAAUAUUCAUUCAAUGGCUAUGACCAAUCCUUUUUUUCUUAUCCCAAGCCAUAUCCUGAUAUCCUAACCCAAACAAACAUAGUAUAUGUAUUAUUACUUUUUUUAUAUAUCGUGUAUCUUAUUGUAUUACGUAUCUCUUUAUCUUUUUGUAUCCUUUCAUUUCAUAUUCGGACAAUCAAACAAACCCUUAUCAUAUUUGUGUUGUUAAAACAGGCAAAAUCGAUCGGCAGCUCAGCGCAAAUGAUUACCCCCGGGGUUACAGUUAUUCGUACCCCACUUAUUAUUCUCCCAACCGCCCAUGAUGUUUGUUGAUCAAAAUUUAGAACUUAUGUAUAAGACCGAUUAAAAAGGUGGUUGAUAUGAGCAUGAGAGGCUAUUUGCUUAGCAACCUAUUUUGUUGUCACUACUACUUUGCCUCUUUGAUAAAAAGAUGGCAUCUUGUAAAAUCUAUGAUAGCUUAUGAAUAAAAUUCAGUGACUAAAGCUGUCCAUGACAUUUACUAUUAUCAUUUCUUUAUGCGUGUGAAAUUAUAUUUUAUUUUAAUAGCUCGGUAUCUAGUGCUUCACGUACCAACUAAUUUAGGGAUCAAUUCUAUCGUCCGUUAGUGGAGGGUCUGAUUAAAUUAGAUCGGUGCAAAUUCCCGUGUGGAUUGGUUAACUCAUUAAUUGAUAACUCUUGGGAAGUUUCGAACUAGAGAUCUUGAAAGAAAUCGAACAAACUUCAAGGUGAUCUCAUACAUAGAUCACCAAGCUAAUCAAUCCAUUGGAAUUAUAUGUGUGGAAAUUAAAGGGAGGAAAUGUGUAUAUAUGAUGGGCACAUAUUGGAGAAGUUUACAAGUUUAGGUGUGACUUUCUCUUCUCUUUUCUGUUCAGUACUCUCAAUAAUAUAGAAACCUAAAAUAUAUAUUUGUCUUCUCUCUCUAACUACUCUUCUCACUACUCUCUAAAUAAUAAUUUUUCUCACAUUUCUCUCUCCAAAUUCCUCCAGCGUCCUUUUACUUUUUUUCUCUAGUGUUCUCUAAGAUUUUUUAAUGUGUAUUACGGAGAAGAGAAUGGCGAUUUAUGGGUAAGCCUAGGUUUUCAAAUUUGGUAUCUUAUGGACUUAGAAACUUUUGGGGUGGCUUCACUGUCUGAAAUGCAAACUAAAAAUUUUGAUUUUUGGAAAGGAAAAAAUAAUAAAAAAUAAAAUAAAAAGUUUUUUGUAUAUAAAAUUAGACUUUCAAAAAAUAAUCGGGUUAAAAUUAAGUAAAUAGAUUUUUGGCUAAAAACUAUUUGAACUUUAAAAUAAAAUAUUUGACCUUAAAAGAAAAUAAAUUGGACUGAACCAAAACAAGUGUAUUUACAAUAGCCUUGGACUUCUAAAAAAGGAAAACUACUUGAGCGAAACAGACUUGGACUUUAAAAAUAACAAUUGGGUUAAAAAAAUUUUAAAAGAGAUUUUUUCAUGGCCCACUACUAUUCUGAGGUUAUAUUUACCAUUUAAUUUUUAGAGAAAAAAAUAUUGAUGAUUGGAUAUUGUGGCUUCAGCUUGGAUGAGGGAUUGUCAAGUAACCAAUAUUUGGUCCCGAUGUCCCAAGUUUUUAGAAACUUCCCACGCUGAGUGGGCUUAUCCAUUUCCGACAAUGUAUAACCAUAACCAGUUGAUCUGAUGUUAGAAAUUUGGUGUUUUUUAAAGUGCAGGAGUUAUAUGUAAAGUGGGCCUGAUUUAUUAGCCUAUGGAUUUAUAGGUUUGACCCACAUGCGGUUGCAUCGUAGCUGCUUGCCCUGCCCAACCCGAUUCGAUUCGUGUUCGUGCGGGCCGGCCGAGUUUGGUCUUGGUCUUGGUCUUGGUCUUGGUCUUCGGCUUCGGCUUGUUAUCCGAAGAUCGUUGUUGUUGUAUCUUGAGAGUCGUACGACAUAUUCCAUAAGUAUCAAGUGUAGGUCGUCAAUAACUUAAGGACAUUGAAUUUAAUUCAUGCCUCAGCCAAAUUAAAUUCUGCAUCCUUAAGUUACAUUAUUUAUAUUUUUGUUUUCUUCUAUUUAUGUUUCAAAGUUUAUGUUCAAACUUUCUUUAAUUUCUGUUCAUAACUUUCUAAAUUUAAAGAAAAAGAACACCAUUUUCUUUGACAAUCUUAAGUCGUUGAAGCUUGCUGUUUUAAAAGUUUUUUUAAAUUAGAAAAUUUUGUUCCUAUUUAAAUUAUGUUUUCUUAUACUAUUUAUGAAUUUUUGUAUUUUAUUCAAAAAAUACCUGGUGAUAACACAACCUUUGAGGAGAACACUACUGUUCCAAUUAUGGCAAUACUAACUGUUAUGCCUAGGCCUACUCCUGUCAUUACUGAACAUAGAGAGAAGCCCAAGAAGUUCAAUGGGUCAGAUUUCAGGCGCUAACAACAAAAGAUAUUGUUCUAUUUGAUAACAUUAAAUUUGACGGCAUAUUUGCAUGAAGACAUUCUGAGUUUGGAGGAAGGUGAAACGUAUUGUCUUACUAUGGCAACAGUGGAAGCAUGGAAAUAUGUUGAUUUCCUCUACAAAAAUUACAUACUGAAUAGUUUGAAAAAUACACUAUACAACGUGUAUUGUUCCAUUCCUACUGCCAUGGAACUCUGAAUUUUUUUUGAUAAGAAGUACAAGAUGGAGGAUGCCGGAAUCAAGAAGUUCGUAGUGGGGAGGUUUCUUGAUUUCAAGAUGACUGACGCAAAGGCCAUCAUGAGUAGUACAAGAAUUUUAACUAAUCUUACAUGAUAUUCUUGCUGAAUGGAUGACUUUGAGCGAAUCAUUCCAAGUGACUGCUCUAAUAGAGAAAAUUACUACUGCUUUAGAGAGAUUUCAAGAACUACUUCAAACACAAGCACAAGGAAAUAGGGUUUAAAGACAUCAUUAUCAAACUGCGGAUUAAAGAAGAUAAUCGUUAGUUAAAAGGUGAUUUGGCAAUAAGAUGGAGUCAAGGGCUAAUGUGGUGGAGCAUAUGGCCAAAAGAUAGAAUCAAAACAAGAAGCAGAGUCUGAGCAGUCAAACUUAUAAAGUGAAUGAUCAAAAGAAAUUUUUGGAGAACUGCUAUGUGUGUAAUAAAUCUUAUCAUCGAGCCAAGGAUUGUAGGAGUGUACUACAACAGAAACUCAAGGAAACAACAAGAAGAGGAAGUUCGCACAAGUCAAUAUGACUGAAUUGGAGUAACUUUUGAAGAUAUUUUAGAAAUGAACUUAUGUGUAGUCAUUUCUGAAGUAAAUCUUGUUGGAAGUAAUCCCAAAUAAUGGCAGAUAAACACUGGAA